GACGAACGCUGGCGGCACGCUUAACACAUGCAAGUCGAACGAGAGAAGAGAAGCUUGCUUUUCUGAUCUAGUGGCGGACGGGUGAGUAACACGUGAGCAAUCUGCCUUUCAGAGGGGGAUACCGAUUGGAAACGAUCGUUAAUACCGCAUAACAUAAUUGAACCGCAUGAUUUGAUUAUCAAAGAUUUAUCGCUGAAAGAUGAGCUCGCGUCUGAUUAGCUAGUUGGUAAGGUAACGGCUUACCAAGGCGACGAUCAGUAGCCGGACUGAGAGGUUGAUCGGCCACAUUGGGACUGAGACACUGCCCAGACUCCUACGGGAGGCAGCAGUGGGGAAUAUUGCACAAUGGAGGAAACUCUGAUGCAGCGAUGCCGCGUGAGGGAAGAAGGUUUUGGGAUUGUAAACCUCUGUCUUCAGGGACGAAAAAAGACGGUACCUGAGGAGGAAGCUCCGGCUAACUACGUG
rnacentral:rRNA from 1 species